CUGGGUCUAUCGACACCAUUAUGGCCAAUGGCGUGUAGCUUUGUUGGUAAGGGCUGGGGGAAUCUUCACAGAUAGUGCAAGAUCUCUGGUUCAAGCCUAGACAGCCGCAUAGCCACAACCAUUGAGAAGAUAUAUGGAUCGUGUGACUGAAGAAAGUCUGAUGGAAUGGAUGAUCAACACGAACAUGUAUAUAUGAAGCAGGUUUUGUGAGGUUGGAUGUGAUUAAUUAGGGAAGUAAAUAAGCUAGCUGGAUGCAUGGUAAGCUAGCUAGGGGUGUGAUUAUAUAUAUAGAAACGGUAGUUGAAUACGUAAUGAAAUAAGUCGAUCAAUCCACAUAUCUAUAAUAGAUAUUAUCAAGUAUAUUUUUUUUUUUGAUAUGAUAUAUACUUAGUUAUCUAUGCAUUUGGAUUCA